CCAGGGUGGCUUUUGUGCGACCUCAGUGGCGGGGCGCGGAAGCAGGGGCAGUGCCCGGCAUCUGCACUCCCAAACCUUGACAGCCCUGAGGCUGAGGACUCAACUCCGGGGCGCACCAGGGGCUGCCACCGCUAGACCUCCCCCUGGCCCCCCGCCCCGUAUCGGAGGCCGGGGCAGAGCUGCCCGAGAGGCCCCCCAGCGCCCCACCCGCACCCCGCGCCCAGCAGCCCAGCUCCCGGUCCCGCCCCAGCUCUCUGGGCCGGGCUCACAGGCGGCAACGGGGCGGGGCCGGGAGGAGGGAGCGUUCCUGCAAAUCACAUGAUUUUCCCGCUUAUAUAAAUCACAGCUUGUUUUUCUGAACUGGCUGUAGACUUAAAGGUGCAGUGUCUUCUUUCUCUCCCAAGGGCAGGGGCUCCCUUGGGUGCCCUUGACCGCGGGCGGGCAAGCUGGGCGGGAGUGCCUUCAGCUAGGGAUGUGACACACACACACACAGUUCAGGGUUUAUGCUUAGUUGGCCCUUCCUCCAUGCUUGGAAUAUUUUCCUUGUGCUGAGGACCAGAGUCAGGCAAGGAAACAUUAUCACCAAGUCAAGAAACCCUCAAGGGACUGGGGCAGCCUCUCAGAGGAAUACCCGGAGGCCUGGAAGCCAGGGAAGAGAAUCCACGUAGAAGAUGCCACAGGGGGAGGAUGUACUGUAUGUCUUCUGGGGAGCCAAGAGAAAAGGAGAGAGAGCGAGGUUGGGGAACACCCAGGACGGCGAGGCUGUGAGGUCCUGUGUCCUUGGAGCCACAAACUUGCUGACUGCGAGUCCUGAGCUCAAGAAGGCCUUCACAGAUCCUUAUUGUGCCUGCCGUGUGAGCCCAGUGAGUGCCGGGCUAGCUGCAAUGCCAACAGUUCCGUCUCCUAGGCUGCAGUGGGGUGGACCCUGAACCAGCCGAGCAGGGCCAGCUGCAGCAGGCAGAGGAGAGGCCGGUCUCAGCUCAGUUGGAUGAACCUUAGCAGGCCCGACGACAGUACUGGAGCCCUGGAACCACCCUGGCUGGCCCACUCUGUGGACGUGGUUUGGACCCCCAUUUCCUGUUUGAAUAAAUGUCAUUUAAAAAAAAAUGAA